rnacentral:rRNA from 1 species
GGUUAAGCGACUAAGCGUACACGGUGGAUGCCCUGGCAGUCAGAGGCGAUGAAGGACGUGCUAAUCUGCGAUAAGCGUCGGUAAGGUGAUAUGAACCGUUAUAACCGGCGAUUUCCGAAUGGGGAAACCCAGUGUGUUUCGACACACUAUCAUUAACUGAAUCCAUAGGUUAAUGAGGCGAACCGGGGGAACUGAAACAUCUAAGUACCCCGAGGAAAAGAAAUCAACCGAGAUUCCCCCAGUAGCGGCGAGCGAACGGGGAGCAGCCCAGAGCCUGAAUCAGUGUGUGUGUUAGUGGAAGCGUCUGGAAAGGCGCGCGAUACAGGGUGACAGCCCCGUACACAAAAAUGCACAUGCUGUGAGCUCGAUGAGUAGGGCGGGACACGUGGUAUCCUGUCUGAAUAUGGGGGGACCAUCCUCCAAGGCUAAAUACUCCUGACUGACCGAUAGUGAACCAGUACCGUGAGGGAAAGGCGAAAAGAACCCCGGCGAGGGGAGUGAAAAAGAACCUGAAACCGUGUACGUACAAGCAGUGGGAGCACGCUUAGGCGUGUGACUGCGUACCUUUUGUAUAAUGGGUCAGCGACUUAUAUUCUGUAGCAAGGUUAACCGAAUAGGGGAGCCGAAGGGAAACCGAGUCUUAACUGGGCGUUAAGUUGCAGGGUAUAGACCCGAAACCCGGUGAUCUAGCCAUGGGCAGGUUGAAGGUUGGGUAACACUAACUGGAGGACCGAACCGACUAAUGUUGAAAAAUUAGCGGAUGACUUGUGGCUGGGGGUGAAAGGCCAAUCAAACCGGGAGAUAGCUGGUUCUCCCCGAAAGCUAUUUAGGUAGCGCCUCGUGAAUUCAUCUCCGGGGGUAGAGCACUGUUUCGGCAAGGGGGUCAUCCCGACUUACCAACCCGAUGCAAACUGCGAAUACCGGAGAAUGUUAUCACGGGAGACACACGGCGGGUGCUAACGUCCGUCGUGAAGAGGGAAACAACCCAGACCGCCAGCUAAGGUCCCAAAGUCAUGGUUAAGUGGGAAACGAUGUGGGAAGGCCCAGACAGCCAGGAUGUUGGCUUAGAAGCAGCCAUCAUUUAAAGAAAGCGUAAUAGCUCACUGGUCGAGUCGGCCUGCGCGGAAGAUGUAACGGGGCUAAACCAUGCACCGAAGCUGCGGCAGCGACACUAUGUGUUGUUGGGUAGGGGAGCGUUCUGUAAGCCUGUGAAGGUGUGCUGUGAGGCAUGCUGGAGGUAUCAGAAGUGCGAAUGCUGACAUAAGUAACGAUAAAGCGGGUGAAAAGCCCGCUCGCCGGAAGACCAAGGGUUCCUGUCCAACGUUAAUCGGGGCAGGGUGAGUCGACCCCUAAGGCGAGGCCGAAAGGCGUAGUCGAUGGGAAACAGGUUAAUAUUCCUGUACUUGGUGUUACUGCGAAGGGGGGACGGAGAAGGCUAUGUUGGCCGGGCGACGGUUGUCCCGGUUUAAGCGUGUAGGCUGGUUUUCCAGGCAAAUCCGGAAAAUCAAGGCUGAGGCGUGAUGACGAGGCACUACGGUGCUGAAGCAACAAAUGCCCUGCUUCCAGGAAAAGCCUCUAAGCAUCAGGUAACAUCAAAUCGUACCCCAAACCGACACAGGUGGUCAGGUAGAGAAUACCAAGGCGCUUGAGAGAACUCGGGUGAAGGAACUAGGCAAAAUGGUGCCGUAACUUCGGGAGAAGGCACGCUGAUAUGUAGGUGAAGUCCCUUGCGGAUGGAGCUGAAAUCAGUCGAAGAUACCAGCUGGCUGCAACUGUUUAUUAAAAACACAGCACUGUGCAAACACGAAAGUGGACGUAUACGGUGUGACGCCUGCCCGGUGCCGGAAGGUUAAUUGAUGGGGUCAGCGCAAGCGAAGCUCUUGAUCGAAGCCCCGGUAAACGGCGGCCGUAACUAUAACGGUCCUAAGGUAGCGAAAUUCCUUGUCGGGUAAGUUCCGACCUGCACGAAUGGCGUAAUGAUGGCCAGGCUGUCUCCACCCGAGACUCAGUGAAAUUGAACUCGCUGUGAAGAUGCAGUGUACCCGCGGCAAGACGGAAAGACCCCGUGAACCUUUACUAUAGCUUGACACUGAACAUUGAGCCUUGAUGUGUAGGAUAGGUGGGAGGCUUGGAAGUGUGGACGCCAGUCUGCAUGGAGCCGACCUUGAAAUACCACCCUUUAAUGUUUGAUGUUCUAACGUUGACCCGUAAUCCGGGUUGCGGACAGUGUCUGGUGGGUAGUUUGACUGGGGCGGUCUCCUCCUAAAGAGUAACGGAGGAGCACGAAGGUUGGCUAAUCCUGGUCGGACAUCAGGAGGUUAGUGCAAUGGCAUAAGCCAGCUUGACUGCGAGCGUGACGGCGCGAGCAGGUGCGAAAGCAGGUCAUAGUGAUCCGGUGGUUCUGAAUGGAAGGGCCAUCGCUCAACGGAUAAAAGGUACUCCGGGGAUAACAGGCUGAUACCGCCCAAGAGUUCAUAUCGACGGCGGUGUUUGGCACCUCGAUGUCGGCUCAUCACAUCCUGGGGCUGAAGUAGGUCCCAAGGGUAUGGCUGUUCGCCAUUUAAAGUGGUACGCGAGCUGGGUUUAGAACGUCGUGAGACAGUUCGGUCCCUAUCUGCCGUGGGCGCUGGAGAACUGAGGGGGGCUGCUCCUAGUACGAGAGGACCGGAGUGGACGCAUCACUGGUGUUCGGGUUGUCAUGCCAAUGGCACUGCCCGGUAGCUAAAUGCGGAAGAGAUAAGUGCUGAAAGCAUCUAAGCACGAAACUUGCCCCGAGAUGAGUUCUCCCUGACUCCUUGAGAGUCCUGAAGGAACGUUGAAGACGACGACGUUGAUAGGCCGGGUGUGUAAGCGCAGCGAUGCGUUGAGCUAACCGGUACUAAUGAACCGUGAGGCUUAACCUU